CUGAGCACAGCUAGCCAGCUAGCUAUCCGGGAUGCGCCCUUCCUAUUAGGAGGAGUGGCGACGAUGCUGACUUACAGCUGCGCGUGAAGCUAGUUUAGCCAGAGGCUGCGUUUCAGCGAGGGUUCCCUACAUGCGAAUUCCAGCAAGGCAUAUAUUAUGAUCAAACGCACCCAUACAGCACCCACAGAGGCUGAAGUCUGCCACUAACUUCACCCGCUUCUUCAAUAAACAACACAAGUCUGGUCCUGGCUUUAACUGCCGUCUUUUCUACAUAACACAAAAUGGACUGCAGACAGAGG